rnacentral:lncRNA from 1 species
AUUAAUUCUUACUCAUAUAAAGCCAAAAACGUCAUGGUGGACCCAAACAACGGCAAGAAAUGAACAUUUGAAAUGCACAUUUUUGAUUUUUUUUAAAUAUUUCUAACGGUGUCGAUUUGGCCAAAGUAAGAUAUGUUAUUCUUUGAAAAAAAUGGAACGUCAUAACGUUUUGAAAAAUAUUUGUCACCAUACUCGUUUUUGAAGAAAAUUGAGAAAUAUAAUAUUGUUUACGCAAUCCCUCCCGUAAGCCUCACAAAUUGCGCCAAAAAUUAAGACGUUUUCCGAAAAUAACGUUAUAUUUCCCCGCUAAUAUUUCAAAGGCAGUGCGACGGUGUGGCAGACAAAUGUAUUUACACUGUGACUUUGUUGGGUAGUUGUCUCGAUAGCACUCAUAUCG